rnacentral:lncRNA from 1 species
UUCCAAAUGAGUAACUAUCUAAAGGUUUCUAUUCUCUUAUCCCUUUCAGCUUAUCCCUGCCUGCCUGCUUGAUCAAUGAAUGCAUGGUCCGUGCUCCUUCCUCUAGUUUCCUGCUCUUUCUCAUUAUUUCGGCCCCAGUGUGUCCCUGAUGAGCUUGCCUGCAAAGCAUGAAGGUGGGGGGAGACGGUGUCGUAGAUAACUGCGAGAUGAGAGCCUUGGAGGAGAGGUACACCAGACAGAAAGUCAUCAUGAGAUACCGUCCUUGGGAAUGGCAUAAUGCUCUUGGGAAUGCAGGCUGCCACGGUGAGUAUACCAGGUUUUGAUCCAAUAUCAACUGCAAAUAAAAUCUAAUGAACAAGAAAG